UACAGAGGUCUCAAGCGUUGUUCGGAAUCACUGGGCGUAAAGCGUGCGUAGGCUGUUUCGUAAGUCGUGUGUGAAAGGCGCGGGCUCAACCCGCGGACGGCACAUGAUACUGCGAGACUAGAGUAAUGGAGGGGGAACCGGAAUUCUCGGUGUAGCGGUGAAAUGCAUAGAUAUCACACAGAACACCGAUUGCGAAGGCAUCUCACGAAUCCGCGAUUGACGCUGAUGCACGAAAGCGUGGGUAUCAAACAGG
rnacentral:rRNA from 1 species